AGAUGACUUGAGCCUGGGAUUUCGAGGCUGCAGUGAGUUGUGUUCUUGCCACUGCAUUCUAACCUGGGUGACAGAG
rnacentral:snRNA from 1 species